GAGCCGCCGGACCGAGCAGCGAGAAGCGAACAGCGGAUGAUCCGGCUCCUCUUCACCCCGCUCCCUCCCUGCCUCCCGCCCGCGGCAACCACCCCGCGGCCGCCCGUCCCGCUCUCCGCAGCGCCGCCAGGUCCCGCCCACCCGCUAAAGGCUCCGCCUCCCCGGGGGUGCGCGCACGCUCCGGCCCGGCGGAGUUGCAGCUGCCGGCGGAGAUGGUGAGAUGCUGGUAGAGGAGGAGGACCUUGGGAAAUCAUUUUCCGAAGCAGCUUGACAAUCUUAGCCAUCAAGUUGGAGCCUGACGCAGGAAAAGUGAGACUUAGCAUUUGCUCCAACUUGGCUUUCCAUGACCCAAUUGAUCUGACUUCUGUCCUCUCUUGCAAGGGACAGAGACUUGGGCAGAUGGAUUUCUGGUUAACCUGGAAUAGAUGUUCUUUUGUUUGCUCUGCAUCAUGAAGCCACUUGAAAAUUGUAUGGCUAUAGUCCUUUUUUGGAGUUCUGCUUUGCCACUGCAUGUAACUGAAAUGUAAAAUUCAGAAGGUCUAAAAACAUACUUUCACUCACUAAGCCAACUGGCAAACAUCUUUUAGAAUAUGCUUCCCCAAUACUACAUAUUGUAUUUUAUGCUAAGGCCCUGUUUAAAUCCUAGCCUCACCCUUCAAGCAAAACGUUGCCUCAGUGCUUCCAAACACAGGAUAAUUUUAGAGGAGCUCCUAAUGUUUCUGAUAACUCAAAAAUGGAAAGUAGAACAGUAAAGUGCAAUAUAAUACUGAAAUGCAGAAGAGAGAGUAUUAUUAUACUAUCUAGCAGGUUUCAAUUCUGCUCAAUUUAUUCAAGCAAAUUUUGGUUUCAUUAGAAGUUCACACAUGCUUAGGAAAAGGUGAGUUUGGCACCAUGUAUUCUGAAAAAGAACAGGAAUGGAUAUAGCAUUGUCCUUAAACAUGGGAAAACUAUGUUCUUGAUUUUAAGAACAUCUGGUUCUUCACAUCAUUGAUUAGGAAUCAGAACCUGCUGAGUGACAGUGUGCUGUCCAUUCCAAAUUUACUAACAACUAUGCCGUUCCUGCUGGCAGCAGUUGGACUUCUUGGUUAGAAACAAAUGUUUUAAGUACAAUUCUGAGUCAUGAAUUAUCUUUUCUCAAGAUUAUUUUGUCAUUUAUUUAACAGGCAUUUUCACAACAGCCUUGAUUUAAUGUCAAGUACUGGAAGUUACCUUGAUACAG
rnacentral:lncRNA from 1 species